rnacentral:tRNA from 1 species
AAUGAGAUGCCUGAAUAAAGGGUUAUCUUGAUAGGAUAAAUAAAGUAAAAACAUUACUCUCAUUA